rnacentral:rRNA from 1 species
UCCGUAGGUGAACCUGCGGAAGGAUCAUUAGUGAAUUUAGAGCGUAACUUCGGUUAGCUCAACCUUCAUUUUCCAACUCUGUGCACUAUUGGCGGACUGAGAGUAAGCAAUUGCUAUUCAGUCUGCGGCUCACUAUUAAACAUUAGUUAAAGUAUGUAAAUAAAAACAAAACAAAAAAAACUUUCAACAACGGAUCUCUUGGCUCUCGCAUCGAUGAAGAACGCAGCGAAAUGUGAUAAGUAAUGUGAAUUGCAGAAUUCAGUGAAUCAUCGAAUCUUUGAACGCACCUUGCGCUCUCUGGUAUUCCGGAGAGCAUGUCUGUUUGAGUGUCAUGAACUCUUCAACCUACCGGUUUCUAGUAAAUCGGAUUAGUGUUUGGAUUCUGAACGCCUGCUGGCCUUUAUUGGCGAAGCUCGUUCGUAAAUGAUUAGCAUCUCAUAUUCGAAAAUCGGAUUGACUCAGUGUAAUAGACUAUUCGCUGAGGACGCUCUUUCGGGAGUGGCCGAGUUUUGUAAAGUAGAAGCUUCUAAUUCUAUUAGUCAACUUUAGAUUAGACCUCAGAUCAGGCAGGAUUACCCGCUGAACUUAAGCAUAUCAAUAAGCGGAGGAAAAG